CCAAAACCUCUGUGUUCCAGAUAGUGACUACUCUGUCUGCGUGGGUCCUGGAGAGAGGAGGAUGCAGAGCACAGCACUUAGCCAACCUGCAAUGGACACGUAGAAAAACUUCUAAAAUCAUCAGGAGAUAUCACUGAAAAGGUUUCAAAACAAAGCCAUAAUCUCUAGAAAUGUGUCCUUGAUGGGUUGGUCUUCAUUUGCCUGAAGACUGAUCAUUCUAAGGAGGAUUUUGUGCUGCUCUUGUUUUGCUGCUGGGCCUAUCCUGUUUCCAUUCCCAAAUCAAGUAUUCCUGGAAUUUAAGGUAUCACUUUACCAGCCUGACCACAAGUUCCCCAUUGUUUCCUCUGCUCUGCUCAUGACCUGGAAUAAUGCCUCUCCCUGGAUACUAAAUUUACUGACCCUGCCUAGGACCGAGAAGAUUGAUGAGUCCUCAACCCGUGCAUGUCUUCAAAAAGCCACCAACUGAUAGCUACAAAACUGCACUUCCUAGAGACAUGUUGAGAGAGGUUCAAGGCUCAACAGAACUUACCCUUUUGCUGUCAGAGCUCCACCACCAGAUAAGCACAACUGAGCGAAUGACACCAACCAGUGCCAAGAGAAGCAGGACUACCCAACUACACUUUGCCUAAAUUCCUGAUUCACAGAAUUAUAAGCAAAUAAAAUGAUUGUUUAAAGCA
rnacentral:lncRNA from 1 species